AAACUCAAAGGAAUUGACGGGGGAGCACCACAACAGGUGGAGCCUGCGGUUUAAUCGGACUCAACGCCGGAAAUCUCACCGGAUAAGACAGCUGGAUGAUAGCCGGGCUGAAGACUCUGCUUGACUAGCUGAGAGGAGGUGCAUGGCCGUCGUCAGUUCGUACUGUGAAGCAUCCUGUUAAGUCAGGCAACGAGCGAGACCCACGCCAACAGUUGCCAGCAUGUCCUCCGGGAUGAUGGGGACACUGUUGGGACCGCCUCUGCUAAAGAGGAGGAAGGAAUGGGCAACGGUAGGUCAGCAUGCCCCGAAUUAUCCGGGCUACACGCGGGCUACAAUGGUCAGGACAAUGGGUAUCAACACCGAAAGGUGAAGGCAAUCUCCUAAACCUGUCCUUAGUUCGGAUUGUGGGCUGCAACUCGCCCACAUGAAGCUGGAAUCUGUAGUAAUCGCGUCUCAACAUGGCGCGGUGAAUAUGUCCCUGCUCCUU
rnacentral:rRNA from 1 species